rnacentral:lncRNA from 10 species
UAGGGGCUCUGGCAACACAGUCGGGAAACACUGCUGAUCAGCUCUUCAAGACCUUUCCCACCCCUUCUACCUGGCUACCUCCCACUACAGACGCUGAACAUCCACACAUUGGCUUUCCCAGGCUCUCCUGUGACUGGAAAGGGUGAUGGAACAAGAUGUGAAUGAAGUCAGCCUCAGGAAGGAACGGCCUCUGUGGUGUCCACAAUCACUGUCAGAGGGGAGACGAUGCAGUGGCUCUUUCGGGAGGUGUCACACAUCACUGCUGCUCACGUUUCACUGGAAAUCAAGUCACCUGAGCGCAACGGGGCUGGGAAGCACAAUCCUAUCGUGUGUCCACUGGAAACAACUCACACCCCCAGCACCCACACCUAGCAGCCCUCUGCCUCGAAUUCUCCAGCAAUUCUCCACUGCCUUCAGGUCAGGGCCUCCAACUACCCUAUGUAUAAUGAAGACCAAGGAUGUGUGUUUAGAAUACAAAAUUCCAGAACCCCCCACAGAAAAUUCUGAUCUGUUUGAGAUAUAGUACAAAAAUGUGCAUUGCAAUUAACCUCCAAGGGGAUUAUGUUACUGGUAGCCCAUGAGCCAUACUUUAAGAACUACAAGGUCAAGUACAGUAGUGAACUUCUUAAAAUAGUAUAGGAUGUCCUUGAUGGUGGGACUCAGGCUUUCUCUAGAAGUCCAUAUUUAGGCUCACCCCUACCCUGCAGCCACCUUGCUUCUGAGGUGAGGUUACCCACGAGUCUGGCCUCGAGGCUUUGCCCUCCUCCUUGCUCCCACUCCCACCUUUCCCUUUCUCUAACGUUUGGCCACUACGGAAGUGACUGUAGGACUCAGCACAGGAGGCACUAAAAGACGAAAGCUUUUUAGCUCCCAGUCCAGCCCAAGCUGCAAAAGGUGGC